rnacentral:rRNA from 1 species
GGGCCGCACGCGCGCUACACUGACGGAGCCAGCGAGCUUUUCCCUUGACCGAGAGGUCUGGGUAAUCUUGUGAAACUCCGUCGUGCUGGGGAUAGAGCAUUGCAAUUAUUGCUCUUCAACGAGGAAUUCCUAGUAAGCGCAAGUCAUCAGCUUGCGUUGAUUACGUCCC